AGAUGUGUAUAAGAGACAGGUGAAUCAUCGAAUCUUUGAACGCACAUUGCGCCCCUUGGUAUUCCAUGGGGCAUGCCUGUUCGAGCGUCAUUUGUACCCUCAAGCUUUGCUUGGUGUUGGGCGUCUUGUCUUUUAUUAGACUCGCCUUAAAGUCAUUGGCAGCCAGUGUUUUUGGUAGUAAGCGCAGCACAUUUUGCGUCUUAGUCCUUAAAUCGUGGCAUCCAUGAAGCCUCUUUUUCACUUUUGACCUCGGAUCAGGUAGGGAUACCCGCUGAACUUAAGCAUAUCAAUAAGCGGAGG
rnacentral:misc_RNA from 1 species